rnacentral:rRNA from 1 species
AUUGAACGCUGGCGGCAGGCCUAACACAUGCAAGUCGAACGGUAAAAGGAAGAAGCUUGCUUCUUUGCUGACGAGUGGCGGACGGGUGAGUAAUGUCUGGGAAACUGCCUGAUGGAGGGGGAUAACUACUGGAAACGGUAGCUAAUACCGCAUAACGUCGCAAGACCAAAGAGGGGGACCUUCGGGCCUCUUGCCAUCGGAUGUGCCCAGAUGGGAUUAGCUAGUAGGUGGGGUAACGGCUCACCUAGGCGACGAUCCCUAGCUGGUCUGAGAGGAUGACCAGCCACACUGGAACUGAGACACGGUCCAGACUCCUACGGGAGGCAGCAGUGGGGAAUAUUGCACAAUGGGCGCAAGCCUGAUGCAGCCAUGCCGCGUGUAUGAAGAAGGCCUUCGGGUUGUAAAGUACUUUCAGCGGGGAGGAAGGAAGUAAAGUUAAUACCUUUGCUCAUUGACGUUACCCGCAGAAGAAGCACCGGCUAACUCCGUG